GCACAAUACAGUCAUUAUCAUUUAUGAUAAGGAAUCCGAAUAAGAUUAAUUAAUAGUUAUAUCAGUGACGGAUUCAAAAAAAGGGGAUCCGCCAGUUUGAAACCCUUUUUUAACUAUCAAUGCAUUUGUAUGGGAACAUAUAUUUGAAAUCCCCUUUUCUCCUGGAUUGGACCCCCUCUCCAUUUAAAAAUGGCCGGAACCCCCAAUGUAUAUAAAGUGAUUUAUGAGGAGAUGCGCUUACAAAACCGGCGAAACAUAUUGUACCUGUCCAACGGACGAACGGAAAGACGGACU
rnacentral:lncRNA from 1 species